ACCUUUGUAGUCGAAGGAUAAAGACAUUCGUCUCUCACUCUGGUGGCUCGGGUUCGAUUCCCCACGAGGAGA